rnacentral:piRNA from 1 species
AUGUUGAAUUCAGAGAGGUGACAG